rnacentral:lncRNA from 1 species
UUUUGACUAAUAUAAUAACAUGGCCGACAUUUGUCUCAUGGUGCUCUACUUCCUAAAUUUCAUGAUUAAUAUUAAAGAAUCGUUAGUCGAAUUACUUGUAAUAUUCAACUUCUGUAGGGGGCAAGAAUUCGGUGUUUUUGUUUAAGGGGAAUUUUUAAGAUAAUUCAGAUGAUUAUUAAGUUUAAUCUCGAUUAAUAUUAAAAUCAAAUAAUGAGCCAUUUACGAUCACAAAAUUCAAUAGUGCUCUCCAGCCUUUCACACACAC